GAAGUACGGAAAUCAACCUGACAAGGAUCCCAUGAGGAACUGCUCUCCACUCCACCAGGACAGAGAAGCCCUGGGGUCCUUGAAGUCAGAGGGCAGGUGGCCCUGCUCACCACUUCAGCUAAUCUGUCUUCACUGAACUGAGUGCCAACAAGGGAGAUGCCCAACAGUCUGAAUAAGAGAGACAACCUGUCCAGGAGAUACGUUGCACAAACACCAGAACUGCCAACACCCGGAAUAUCCAAAAGUAUCAGAUCCAACCAACAAGCCCGGGCUGGAGCUCAUCUCAUCUUGUCCCACUCCUGACGUCUGGGCUCCCACUCUGCAUAAAGAUCACAGAGCAGAUGGACCUGACCACUGUUGCUUAAGUCCCUCCUGGCAACCCCAGAAGCUGAAGAGAAGAAAGAAGCUCCUGCCUGGGUGCCCCUCCUCCUCUACCAUCCUACACGCACCCCAUCUUCUUAGACCCACACACCCUCCACUGUCACCCGUAUAAUAAAUGAAAUGCAGAGACUGCCCCUUCCUUCAUUCCCUGCAAGAAU
rnacentral:lncRNA from 1 species